UUUCCACCAGACACUGGGAGAUGAAUUCACCUUACAGCAGGACAAUAACCUAAAACACAAGGACAAAUCUACAUUGGAGUUGCUUACUAAGAAGCCAGUGAUUGUUCCUGAGUGGCAAUUUUGACUUAAAUCUAUGGAAAGACCUGAAUAUUUGUCAAGCAAUAAUCAACAACUAAUUUAACAGAAGUUUGAAAAGAAUAAUAGGUUAAUGUUGCACAAUCCAGGUGUGGAAUCUUAGACUUACCCAGAAAGACUCAGCUGUAAUUGAUGCCAAAGGUGACUCUAUGUGUUGACUUGUGGGGGUUGAAUACUUAUCUAAUCAACAGAUGCAUGUGAUUUGUCAGGUGAAUGGUGUCGCCUGUUGACAAAAAAUGACACAUCUUUUUGAAUCCGUUCUGCGUAAAGUUAAGGGGUGCGACUACUUUCUGAGGGCACUCUAGAGCCAUCACUUGUGUUCAUGGUUGUCACACUCACUGCUUGGUUCAGGGACCUCAUAUCAUCUGCUACAGGGCUCUUUGCAGCGAGAAUGUGCACCACUGCAACGUGACCACCUUUUGGUGUAAAGUGUGCUUGAUUUGACCCUCUGUAGGAAUGGAACGCAGAUUGACUUCCUGGCUGUGGAUGAGAACUUUGUGAUGCAGGGGUUCAUCAACCUGGAGACCAUUAAGACCAUCAAACCAGGUGAUGAGAUUGUGGUGGAGUGCACCUAUAACACAGCCACUCGCAAAGGAAUCACGCAGUUGGGGCUGGCCACCACUGAUGAGAUGUCUCUGGCCUUUAUCAUCUACUACCCAGCCAGUAAAUGAGAACUUGUUCUCAACUAGUCUACCAGAGGUAUUGUGGAGAUGUUGAAGACUAAAGCUUGGGACCAGGCGUCCAUUGCUGAGCAUGAGGCCACAAUGAAGAAGGUCCCUCAGAUUGGUUUAAUCAGCAACGAACAUAGUAACUACACCAUAUAUGAGGGAAGCAUCCUCAACAUGAUGGCUAGCCCUUCCGUGAGUUGCAGGAGUGAUCCAACAGGCCUGGGUCUGUGAAGAGUUAAUUGGCAACAAUAGCUUCUGGUUCAGAAGGCUGAAUGUUUUCAAAAUGUGUCUCCCAUGCAAUAGUAGAAAGUGUCAACUGUUUAUUCAUGAUGUAUAAAAAAUAAAUCCAUUCAGACACCUUCCUAUGAUUUAUGUUAAAUGUCUUACCAUGUGCAAUAAUAUUUU